rnacentral:rRNA from 1 species
UACGUAGGUGACAAGCGUUGUCCGGAUUUACUGGGCGUAAAGAGCGCGCAGGCGGUCGAUCAAGUCGAGUGUGAAAGCCCCCGGCUCAACUGGGGAGGGUCAUUCGAUACUGAUCGACUCGAAGGCAGGAGAGGGUAGUGGAAUUCCCGGUGUAGUGGUGAAAUGCGUAGAGAUCCGGAGGAACACCAGAGGCGAAAGCGGCGUCCUGGGGUGAGGUUGACGCUCAGACACGAAAGCAUGGGGAGCGAACGGG